AACCUAGAAUGCUCGAGAGAGCCUGAGAAUGUGAGAGUGAGAAGAGAGACUCUGAACUGUCUCUGUUGUCCCGCCAUCGGUCGACGACUCACCGGGCACCCAUCGAUCCUCUCAUCACCGCCGACACGUUGGUGGUGGUAGCUAAUUCAAUUGACGACUGAGGAAGGAGUUUCGACGAGCAGCAGUUCCGCGUUCUUGACCGUUUCCGGCGACUCUAGCGGCGGUUUGAGCUUCAUAUGACCCUGUCGAGCCGCCGACAUCGGCGAAUUUUCUAGCAUCUAUUCGGCUAUUUUCGGAGCUACUUGAGUUCUUCUGGGUUCGUCGGCAACGCUUGAGGUGAGGACCCCGAUUCCCCUUCGUUCUAAUAUUCACGCUGGUAUAGUUGGAUUCUAUUAGUUUUGAUGAUUUGUGAUUUCGGAUUUUGGUGCUUUCGGGUUCGACGGAGCUACGGAUGGCGACGAGUGCUCUGUGCUUCUGAGUUCUGUCAUCCUUCAACAUAGAUUGAUCAUUGAAAAGUUUGAUUCUAUGGAAGGGGAGAACUCGAAGCUGUGAAGUUGGUUCAAUUGUGAACUUUGAAUUGGCGAGUGAGGUGAUGCAUAAGUGCAACUGAGGAAGAUUAUGCUUCUUAUGUUAGACAAAUACUAAGAAGGACUCCAGUUACCCGAGGAGCGGAAGGCUCGAGAUUCUCGGAGUUCGUAAGGAAAGCCACAGAUUCCAGGUAGGGGACCCGAAACUCCCUUGAUUAGUGGAUUUUCAUUUUAUAUAAAAUGUUUAUGCAUAUGAGAAAUUGCAUGAUGUGGUUAUCAUAAAAAUGGUAACCGGUUUUAUGAGAUUUGAUGGCUUGAGAGUGAGAGGGGCAUAGUGACUUCCUUGGGCUUCGAUUUCCUAAACCUCCGGAGGGGCUGUAUGGAUUGAGGACUGUCUGACAUGCUUUGAGAUGUGGCACUUCCUCUAGGCGAUAUGGUGUAAGUGGACACUCUCGCUACACUUACCUGUUGUACACAUAUAUAGUAAGGUUUAGGAUAGUGGGUCCAGAAGAGGACCGGCCAUCAAGUACAAAUUUAUGGCGCCACAUUUAUUUGAAAAUGAAAUAUUCUUUUCAAAUGUUUGUCGUUCAUUAUAAAUUUGUUUUAAGCAUGUUUUCAUACUAGGCACCCAUAUUAUUUAUUGGUUUUCAAACCUAGUUAAGGAUAAAGUUUCCUUGAGCAGCCUGAGCAGCAAGGAUGAAAGCUCACCCCUACAACAGUUUUGGUUGCAGGUACUGUGCACUGGAACGGGAUAGUGGCGAGGAGCUGGGUGUGCAUAUUUAUUGUCGGUAAUUUGGUUUCCCUUUAUUCUUGUACUUAGAGUUACAAAUUCUAUUCUGAUGGUCUUGUUAUAUCACUUGUGAUUCUAUUCCUUGAAGUUUGUUAAUUAUUGGCAAUUCCUUGUAUCAAAAUUUAUUUCAGGAGAGAGUCCAAUUCUGUUAUGAGAUUUGUCUUGUGAUAUUAUCAUUAAAAUUUGUAUUCUUUUAUUUUUUGUAUUUCUUAGUAUCCCUUGUGUCAGAUUUUGGGGGAAUAAGAAUACUUAUAGAAAAAUAAAGAUUUUACACCUCAAAAUGUUUUUACGCU